rnacentral:lncRNA from 1 species
AUGAUGGUGAACCUUUUGCACCCCAGUUUCAAUUCUGGAGUCCAUUAUUGUGUGCACAGUGCUUUGUGGGAAGACUGUUGGGAGACCUCAAUGUCUCUUUUUGCCCUGCCAUAUUUUUUUAGGAAAGAGACAGGCUACAAUCAGAAGAAUUAUUCACUGGAGUUGUAGUAGGGGGCUGUGAAGAAGCAAAGUAAUUUUGUAUCUUGGGGCCCUUUUUCCAUGUGCGUCUGUGAUGCUCUAAAAUAGGGAUUCUUCUUCUGGGGUCUAGGGACCUCUUGUUGGGAAUUCGCAUUUUAAACAAGCUCUUCUGGCUCUCCUUUAUUGUACACUGAAGUUUGAGAACCACUUCUUACAUGGUUUAGGGUUCUAAGUUUCCUAAAAUUGUAUGCAAAUAUCCUGGUGAUUUGCAUAUGAACAUUUUUCCAUGAUAUUAAAAUGUUACAAAUUACUCUUGUAGAAAACUGAACUCUUGAGUCCUGAAGAAAUUAAUACUAGUCUUUUAUGAUUUAGGGUUGAGUGGCUUGGCUUCUAUAGUAAAUGGCACCCAAAGAAGUCUAAUGGCUCAGAGAAUUUGGCAGAACCAAGCCCCAGGACUUGGUUCUCUAGUCCAUAGGUGAUGAGGAUUUUCACAGUUAUUUUGCCAGUUCUUAGUUCUGAUCUUGUUACCUCUCAUUUCAAAAAUUCCCCAUGCUUUCUGCUACCUAAUGAUUUUUGCAGCUGAUUCAGACAGCAGUUGGGGCUGGGCUGAUCCCUAAGCAAGUUGUUCAGUAUAUUUCUCCCAGCCAUCUCCAUGUGCUGUCAUCCAGCCAGGGUGAACCACUCAUCUCUAUUCCCCAUGUAUUGCAGAGUCAGACAGUCCUAAGCUCCAGCCAUGGUGCUGCCUUGUGUCAGCUGUAUGAUUCCAGGCAAGUAAUUUAAUCACACUGAGUCUCAAUUUCAUCCUUAAUAACAUGAGAAUUAUUGGGCUUCUCAGGUGGUGCAGUAGAAAAGAAUCUGCCUGCUAAUGCAGGAGACACAAGAGAUGUGGGUCCGAUCCCUGGCUCAGGAAGAUCCUCUGGAGUAGGAAAAGGCUACCUACUCCAGUAUUUUUGCCUGGAAAAUCCCAUGGACAGAGGAGCCUGG